ensembl:snRNA U6 U6 spliceosomal RNA
AUGCCCAUUCAAGCAGCACAUAUACCAAAAUUCGAAUGAUAUGGAGAAGAUUAGCAUGUCCCUGCAUCAGUAUGACAUACAAAUUUGUGAAGCAUUCUAAACUAUA